rnacentral:lncRNA from 1 species
CAAUAAUUUGGCUAGGUGCUGGCCUAUUUGUUCCCCGAUGGAACUACUCUAAUGAAGCAAAAUAAGUAUGCAAUACACGGAAAUCUCUUUGCGGACUCUAUUGGUGCACAUCAAGUGGGGGUGGCCAAUUGACCACCCCUGGAUGAAGCAAAUAAGUAUAUUAAUUACAUUAUUGAAAUUCUUUAUUGUAGACUCUAAUGGUGCACCUAAAAAAUAAAUAAGUUUUGUACAUCCAUCAAAGUAGCCAUAGGCAUCGAUAGUACUAUUUUUCUUUUUACCCAAGUGUUGCGGGGGAGAAUAAAUACAUCAUAGGACACCAACUGCAAAAGUGAAUGUUCUUAAUCCUUUAAAUUACAAGGCGGUUGCCACUAUAAAAUAAUGAUAGCCUUCAUUCAAAGGGAUCUCCAUUUUUAAAAUAUAAAAAUAGGAACUAGUUGGCGGGCCUAUUCUACAUUGAACUUCAACGAUCCAAAACAUUUAUUUUUCAAGUCUUUAUUCAUAGAUCAUUCUUGCAAAAUGGUAAUUCAAUCUCGAAACCGUUUACCCAUUUGAUUCUCUUGAUGAAAUUUCAAUGUUUCUUAGAACACAAUGUUUAUCAAUUUCUUUGAUCUCAAUUAGAUACCUCAAACAUUUCUGAUUUUGCCAAUAUUUUGUAAGGAUGAUUAAUGAAGUGCAACUUAAAAAAUAAACCGUUUGGAUCGUUGAAGUUGGAUAUGAAGUGGGCCCCAGAACUGGACCUUGAUUCUAUCAAACAAUGAAGACCCCUUUAGAUAAAGGGCUUGAUAUAAUAAUAUUACUUUUUUUUAAACACCCUAUAUUAUCUACACUAAAAGGAAGGAAGAUGGACUUAACCUCACAAUGAGCUAACAAUAAUAUGUUUUAAAUUCACCUUUAUCGACUACUCACUUACAAGUGAAAUGUGAAAAAAAAUACAACUAAACCGUAGUAUUAAGUGACAAUAAUAUUACUAAUACUUUUUCUUUUUUUGUAAAUGAUUCGAGUGCAGGGAGUUGAGCUAUACCUUUCAUUGUUCGGGUUGAAGAGACGUAAAUAAUUGAACUUAUAUAUGCUUGUUCACAACUUCAAUACAUACAAACAACAACAUAUAUAAUAAAACCACCAGCUCCAGUACAAGUAUACAGAUCAGCCAGUGCCACGCACCCAAUCCUAAACAAGUCAUCCAUCCAACAAAUUAUAUUCGAUUUUCUCUGGAUUUCUCUUUUUGUUCGAAUUCUCUCUUAAAUAUUAUAUGUAUCAAACUUAUACUAAGAUACCAUUCAGUACUAUAGUCUGAUAGUAUUUCUUUUCACUUGGAAAUGAGAGAUUUUAAGUUCGAAUCUCGUGGAUGGCGAAUUUGAUACCAACUUAGACUGCCCGCUUUACCGAACUCCCUCUCUCCUUAGUGUAAAAAUGUUAAUGUACUAAAAAAAGUUUAUAUAAAGAUAGCAUCAAUAUUAUAUAAACAUACGACAAAACUUCUCACGACAUUCAAACCUAAUACUGUUAAAUUGUGCAUUUAAUACAAAAAGUCUUGAUAUCAUUUAGGGAUGUGAUAUCCACACACAUUUUUUUACUUCUCACACAUCCUUCUAAUUUUCAACCGUCGGAUCGAAUGAAUUGAAGAAGAUCAACGGACAGAAAUUAACAAAGAGUGUGUGAGAAGUAAAAAGGGGUGUGUGGGUAGCACACCCCUAUCAUUUAAUGUGAACGUCAGUAGUGUUACACUUACUAUUUAUGUACUAUCAUUUAUAUCAUUUCUUUAAUAGAGGUAGAGUCCAUCAACAAUGUGGGUGUCAUAUUUAUUAGAGAGAUGAUAUAAAUGAUGGUACACAUAGAUGGUAAAAAUUUCAUUUUUGAUAGUGUAAUGCAAUCACACUCAAGUAUAAAUAUUUUACAAUUACAGUGUAAUAUGACGUCUAUAAUGUAAAGGUAGACCUUGUUAUAAUAAUACCGACGCCAUUUUGUAUAAUUAGUUAUAACGUUAUGAUUAAUGUAUAAAGUUAGAAUAUAAAUUUGAGUGAUUAUAGUGUAACUUUACAUUUCUUGUAAUCCACACGUUAAAUGCUAACAUUAGGUUAUAACGCUAUUAUACAUUAAGAUAACGAUAUCAUAGUGAAUUAUGAUAUUGUAUAAUUUCAUGACAUCUACUAGCAAUAGCGUACGUUCAUAUUGUAAUAAUAUCUCCAUAAUAUCAUCAUCAAUAUUAAUAGUGUAAUGCAUUCACGUCCAAGUAUAAUAACAUACCUUGACAAUUACAACAAAUGUGUUUAAAUUUCCUAAUUGAUCAAGCUACAAUUGGAGGCCUGUUCACAUGGAUCUUUGUACAAAUAAUUAGGUAUGGGACCAAUCAAAUAUUAUAUCAUAUGUAAAAAGUUGAGUGGAACUUUGAUAUGCUCCCUACAUCUAGCAGGGUUGAUCUCAGCACAUUUUCAUUUUAGGAAAUAUUUUUUUUUAAUAAAUGAUAUUAUCUGCAUUAAAAUGGAAUGAUGUUGGUUUAACCUCACAAUGAACUAGUAAUAAUGUGAUUCAAAUUUGUAUUUGGCGAGAAUCGAAACUAAGAACUCUCAAUUACAAAUGAGAGGAAUAACAUUAGAUCAUAAUAUUAAGUGGCGAAAAUAAUUUUUCUUAAAAUAAAAAGAAUCUACAAGAACACCCGGAACGCAUACACACAUUUUUUAUUUUUUUCAUUUCAUUCUAUUAUUUCGAAGAAAAAAAAUUCAUUCUAUUAUUAACGACUAAAAAUAUUGCAUUUUAUUAUUCUUCUUCUUACUCUUAAAAAUAUUGCAUUAUUUGUCAAUUUUUAACCGUUGACAUUUUAAUUUUCAAACAAUAGGAAUUAUGAGAUAAAAAUAAAUUUUUUUUUUUACAAACGAUAUUAUUUAUAUUAAAGGAAUGAGGUGGUUUAAGUCUCAUAAUAGAUUAACAAUAAUGUUGUUCAAAUUCUCUUUUUACAAAAAUUAAAUCUAAAAUUUCACACUUUUAAAAUAAAAAGAAUAUAACUAAACAAUAAUAUUAAGUGGCAAAUCAUCCUCCAAGAAACUCAGUUCCUCGGAUAUUAAACAAGUAAACAUGACGUAGGAAGAAUUGAUGGAUUAAUGGCAUUAAUUUAAUGCCAUGUCAUUGUCCAUGUUAAUUUACCAAACUAACCAAAAAUAAAGUCAGACUCAGCAGAGCAGCUCACCGACUUGAUAGUCUUGAUCAAGGAAGAAAAUAUCGGUAAUAUCGGAAAUAUCGGUAGUUCGAAAACAAGGAAAUAUCGAUGGAAAUAUCGGGAUAAUAUCGAUAUCGAUAAAAAUUACAUGGAAACCACGGAAAUUGUAAGAAAAACUUGGAAAUUUUUAUUGAAACUUUGCAGGAUGUUUAUUUAGUCAAUUAUCUAUUAGUUUAUCACAAAAAAUUGGAAUGAAAUGCAUUGCAUGAUGGAUUUAACAUUAUCAAGUUGAUUAUAUAGCGAGCUGACAAACAUUGUGAGUGUAGAAAAUAUGUAGAAAUUAAUGAAAGAAGUCUAAACACACCAUAAUCAUUUAUAUAUAAUGAAUUAGUACAAUAUUUUACACUUUAUACAUUACAUGGUAAAAUACAUGAGUGACUUAGUACCACAUAGAGUUCCUAUGAGGUCAAAAUUUUCACUAUCUUCAUCAUCUCUAUGUGUAGAGUGAGUGUAUUUUGAAGAGUAGUUAGCAACCAUGGCAAUGGUUUUCAAGAACCAAAACCCAAAAGUCAAUAGGAAACCGAAUACUUCGGUAUUUUUCGGGAUUACCAAACAAAUGGGAUUUGGAAACCAAUCCCAUAUCGAAAAUUUCGGUAUUUUUCGAGAUGGGAUUCCCGAACUUCAGGAUGGUUUUGGUUUGGGAUUUUUCGGUUUGGGUUUGGGACUUUUUCGGUUUGGUUUGGGAUUUUCCGGAAUUUUUUCCAGCCCUACCAUGUAAGUGACCAAAUAAAAAGUAGAAAAAUUAAAAACUACAUGCCAUUAACUAAGUAAUUAAUUGACACAAUUUAAAAUAUAAUACCACAAAAAAUUUGGAAUAUGUGCAUAUUUGUUUCUUGUAAAAAGAAUUCAAAACAAAAGCAUAUAUAUAAAUAUUGUAGCAUAUUAUCACAACAACAUAAGUGGUAUAGUGGUUAAGGCGCUAAGGAGUUAAGUGGGAGGGGUUCGAACCCUCUGUAUGCUCAAAAUUGUGACUUUUCAAAAUUUUCAGGAAUUUUUGGACUAAUAUCGCGAUAUUAUCGAUAAUAUCGCGAUAUUUUGACGAAAACUCAUUGGAUACUCAUUAAAAUAUCGGUAACUCAAAAAAACGAAAAUAUCGGCGAAAUAUCGCCGAUAUUUUGGAUAUUUUCUUCCAUGGUCUUGAUAGACGCAUAUUUAUGCGACUUAGUUAACUAGUUUUCUUACAUUUACGUUAUUAGUUCUUAGUUAUUUUAGUACUUUAAGCCAUUUUCGUAUGUUUGUAGGUCCAAAGGGCUAAGGUAGCAAGAAAGUG